GAAACACUGAUUUGGCGUUCCAUACUUUAUUAUUGAAAUUUUUUCUCCGCCGCAUUUCUGAAACAAAAAAUGGGGAAAAGGUACUAUUGUGACUACUGCGACAAGAGUUUUGCUGAUAAUUCAGAGAACAGAAAGAAACAUCUUAAUGGAGUCGUUCAUGACCGACUGCGGAAGCUUCAUUACUCACAAUUUAGAGAACCGGAAGAGAUUUUGUCAGAAGAGAGAGCCAAAAUUCCAUGUGUGAAGAUAAAGCAAUCAGGUUUCUGUCCUUUUGAGGGGAAUUGUAGAUACUCCCACUUGACUCCAGAAUGGGAACGAGAGCUACUGGAAAAAAUUGAAGCCAAGAAACUUGCAGCCAAGACAGCUGAGGAUCGGGCAGCCAACCAACCGGAACCAAACCUUGCUGAUUGGCUUGAUAAAAGGAAAAAGAAAGACAAUGCAUCGUCAACGUCAGAGGGAGUAGAUCCAUCAGGUGGAUCGGCAGCCCUGCAGCACAUGCAGUUCAGCCUUCCUCCAGAGUUACAGAAUAUACCAGACCUUCCACCUUCAAUGAUCCCUCCCACUGGUGAUUGCUUUGCUGAGACUGCAGAAUGGGGUUUAUGACCAAUUCACUGUACAGGUGUAUUUCCUAUUCACACUCACUGCAGAUUCAAAAUGUUGAACAUUUUCUCCAAAUGAAAGGUGUUUGAGGUAAAUAUUAUCCUUAGAUUUAAAUUUGGGGUUGAAUAUUUCAGAAUACUUCAGCCUUCAAAAAGAAUAUCAAGGGUAAAAAAUUUGAUGAAAUUUGCCUGAAUUUUGCACAAUGGAGAUGGAAAGUCUGACUAAUCUGGCAGCUUUUGUCCAUAUUACAGAGGUCAUAAUAGUGCCCCUAACUAUUGUGGUCUCUGGCCGGUCUUUCAGCGAGUACUUAACAGGGUCGCAUUGAUGGUAAAGCGAGUGCCCACAGUUUUCAAACAACUUAUAGCAAUGAGAAAACGUAAACAUAAGUUUUGAACGUGAUACACAGUAUUAGUAAAUGACAAUGGAGACUGAGUGUCAACUCACAUGUUCUUCAGGAGCAGUUACUUGUGCAAACAAAGAUAUUGCAAAAUAUUAUGUAUUUCAUUGCAUGCCAUGAAUUAGGCUUGUUCACAUUCUUUAAUUUGAUUAUUACAAGCUGAUACAGUAUUAAUUUUUAUGAAUUUUUAUGAAACAGAUAUUUGUUAUAAAAAACAACGUGCCAUUCUUGUAACAAGAUUUGUUAUAGAAAAAAAAUUGUUAUAGUUAUGUGACCUAAGUCCAAUUCUGUAUUGGAGUGGCACGGGGCUCUUUUAAAGUUUCAACAAUUAAUCAUACAGUUUAAUUUGUAUGACUGAUUUCACAUAGCAAUAGAUGCCUCCAACCAUGAAAAGCUAGUCUGCAAGCACAGACUCAUAUUUUACACUUCAACCAAUAACAGGUCUAGAGUGAAGACUUGAAUCCAAAGACUGUUUCAAAUAAAAGCCAGCUACAGUACAUAGUGAGUCUAGUCUCACUAAUUCAGACUCUGUGUGAUGCACUGUGCAAAUUGCAAAAAUCAAGGGUCUGUGCCUGCAGACUAAUGAAUAGUAGCCCUAUGACCAGUUGGUUAACUCUGUGCUAUGGGAUCCUGAUGAAUGCCUCUGUGAUAUAAUAUCAGCAAGCUUGUUAUCAUUGGCUAGAUUCAGGACUAUUACCUUGUGUUUAGUAUCUGCCACAAUGGACUGAUACAUGUAUGUACCUUUGAUUAAACCAAGAGCGUUAUCAGUGCAAAGAUACGCCACCCAAUUGAUUGUCAUCAUGAAACUUACCCCUGCAAAUUCCUCACUGUACAAUUUUAAAGUGUUCAUGCCUACGCUGUUUCUAAAAAAACGAUAAUGGUAUAGGCCUAUAAAUUUACUCGUUUACUAGCAUGUACUACAUUCAAGAAUUCCAAGAUUCUUUGCUCCAGCAAAAUAUUGAUGAUUUGCCCCCCCCCCCCCCCCAUGGUUGUUUUGGAGUUAUAGGGUAGGUAGGCAGGUAUUUUUUUCCCCUUUAAAUCCCUCCAAUCUGCAUACACACCAUUAUUUAUACAAGCACGUUUACACACAACUGAUAUUACACACAACCUACGUUUAGUCGUUUACAUACUUACAUUCAAACAUACAACCCAGUGAAGUGAUACCAAGUUCCUCCAAGAUUGACACCAUUCCCUCAGCCAAUACAUUGGAAAAUGACCGUCCAUCACUUCUAAACGCUUGACCAGAGUAAAUUAACAAAGAGUACUGUCACAAUUUUUUGUCAGCUAUUUGCUGAAUAAUUUCUCCACCCAGUGAUGACAGUACCCCCCCCUUUGCCCUCCCCCAUCCCCAGAUAUCAAUACACACUGUCUUCAAGAUGAAAUCACGAUUUAGAGAAGUUUUUGUAUUCAUAAAAUGUCGAGUUAUUUUGAAAAUUUUGCCUCACGAGCUGCUUAUAAGAUGAUGCUGUGGUAGCUCUCUCAUAGCAAUAUGCCAAAAGGUCAAGUCCACAUCAACAAAAAAAAAUUAUUUGAAUAAAUAGAGUUAUUUCCCUUGUUUUUUUUAACACAAAACAGUCAAAUACACAAAACAAUGGUAUGCAAAUUAGAGUUGAUUAUGUCACUCACAUCGCAUUCCUUUUUAAUUAUUUUUUGCAUUUUAUUAUAUAAAUUUUAGCAAAUUUGAUGACGGAAACUCUUCAUCAAAUCACAAUAGGUUACAUUUAGAUAAACUACAAAUGUUAUUGGAGGAAUUAAAAUCCCUCUCAAAAUUUAUUAAAGAAAAUAAUGAGAAAAUUAAAAUACAAUAUACAUGUCAGGUACAUGUAUCAAAGAACAAAAUACAAAAGAAAUUAGAGUAUGUGUGACAUAAUCGGUUCUGUAAUUUGCACCAAGAUGAGCAUAUAAUCGUUUUAUGAAAUUAGGCAAAAUUUCUCAAUGUCAAAAGAGUAUUUUAUUUAAAUCUAGAAUCAAAGUUUUAUGAAUUUUUCUGCAAUACUUUAUUUUUCUUUAAAUUCAAAUGAAUUUUUUGGUGGGGUGGACUUCUCCUUUACUCUUUACAUGGAAUAUAGGGAAUGCAAAGCAAAUAUUCAUCCAUGAACAAAAUUGUCUAAAAAAUAUGCAAAUCAGUAAUUGGACACAUGUUCACUUUCCUUUCAUCCAGGCCUCUCCCUCACAUCCAGGCCACUCUCUCACAUCCACCAGGCUUACAGUCUUAUAAGAAAAAUGAUGAAUUAAAUAUAUAAUACCAUCACACAACAUUCACAGUGCUUCACAAUAAAUAUUUCACUUCUCUUCAUACAUGCAAUAGAUAUUGUGGAAAACAAAAACAAGGCGUAAUCACAUUCAAAUACUUUAAAAGGACAAAUAUACCUUUCGAGAAAAAAAUUGUGAACAUACAGCAUGUUAGAUAACUCUUGACAGAGUUGCUAACAAAAUAUAAUUAUGGGGCAUUUGCAAUAAAUUUAUGCUUGAUUAGGUUGAGUUGCAAUUGCAAAUCAACUACAUGUUUGUGUUUAAUCAAAGGACUUACCCUUGAUUUUGGGACGUGUGAUUGAGUAGAAAGUUUCUUGCAAUGCCCUAUUAGUUACUUAAAACCGUUCUUUGGUUUUAAAUUGUGUGUUCUUAUUUUUGACAAGCUGUAUUCCUGUCCAAAUCAGUGUUCUUAGUCCUACCCAAAACUCUGCUCUAAUUUGUUGUUUCCAAUAUUGAUAAAGAUAAAUUUUCUGUUGUAUCAUUAUCAGUCCAAAAUUUGCAAACUAGUUCUAGGAAAGCAAAGAGUGAUAGGAGAAAAAAUGGCUUUGUCCAAAUCACAGUUAUAGUACAUGAUGGAAUCUCCCAGAAUGAAGUAGCGAGCAGAAACCAGAGUCAGCAAGUGUGCAGAUCUGAGUUUAG